AAUCAAAAGAUGGUGAGUUGGUUGUGGUAGCUUAUGGUCGGGCACAACCAUCGAGAGUGGGCCAAACAUCGCAUUCGUAGCCGGUAGCAGAUUUUUAUUUUAAUGUGUCCGUAGACACCAUUAUAUGUGGAUUUGAAGAUUUCCCACUGCCGGUCCCUAGGGCGGAUUGGAGCCUCUUUGUUCUCAAUGACGCAGAGGGUAGUUUUGUGAUAUGGCCACGUGCUUGGGUGCGAUUUACAGAUGAGGCUUUGCAGAAAACAAAAAAGGCAAAAAAUGUGAAGAAUUUGGAUGUGAACAAAGAGGUGGGCUCAAAAGCUAACAGUAACAAGGCGGAAUCACAACCUAUUCCUGCAAUUGUAGGAAAGAUUUCAUCCAAGGGCUCAUCUCCUGAUGCGACACCAAAAGGAACACCACUUGUGUGUCAGCAAGUGAUCCAAUCUCUUAGCAAGUCAUGUCUUUGGCUACAUGCUCAGGUUAGCAACUUGCCGGAUUCUUCCCCAAUAAAGGUGGAUUUAGAGAAGUCUCAAUUCCACUACCUAGGUGAAGAUUCAGCUACUUGGGUAUAUAAAGUGGAUAUUCGGGAAUUCCUCUGUGGAGCGAUGUUAAAUAUACCCAUAUUACAAGUCAUCAUGAGGUUAUAUAUAAUUAAAGUAACUACUUCAAUAUUUUGUUAGUGGUUGCCGGUUUUCAUUCUAACUUUACUUGAUUAUUUUUUUAGUGCACUUUACGAAGAUUUACUUGGAUGUGAUUCUAUUUCGAAAGUUGGGAGGUUAUGUCCACAAGACAUUCGUGAUGCCAAUUGCUUGCACAACCAUGCAGAAGCGAAUGAGUACAUUGAACGGAGUAUUAGACAAUGUGUUCGAUCGGGAGAUAAGUAUAUUAUUGCUCCAUACAUUGAAGAUGUGAUGAAGAAACUGCGUGGUUCUGGUCCCAGGAGAGCCACACUUCCUCAAUGGAAAUCGGUGAAGUGUGCACAACAACAUGAUGGGGUUGCUUGCGGCUAUUAUGUGAUGAGGUUUAUGUACGAUAUAAUUUCUUCUUGCACGGAAUUUGAUGAUCUAGAGAAGAUUUACAACACGCCAAAGGAGGAGUUGUUCACUAUUGAGGAAAUCAAUGAAGUUCGAGACAAGUUUGCUUCCUUCCUUACUGAUAGUUGUCUUUGAUUUUGAUAUUUAGUUACUUAUGAUGUAAACACAUACUUUGAAUUUAGAGUAGUAU